rnacentral:lncRNA from 1 species
CUUUGUUUCUCCUUCUGAGAGAUGUCUGCUGUGACUGGAAUGUGCUGUGGAAAAGUGAGAAACUGGAGGAGGAAGAAUUGUUACUGAUCUGGAGCAACAGGAAGAACAGAGUGCACCUAUAAAGCUUGGAACUGCUGUUCUGAAAAGUCACUAAAAUGUUUAAAUUUGUGGAGUGCAUCAGGGCCAGAAAACCACAAUCUUUAAGAAGCAAAGAACUUACACAUCAAAUAGCUUACAUUUUUCCUGCUGAAAACCACCUAUGUACAUUUUAAAGGACUCGUGAAAAGGUUUUGAAUUCUCCAGCCU